GGGCGGGUGGCGGAACGGCAGACGCGCACGGUUCAGGUCCGUGUGUCCGAAACGACGUGAGGGUUCAAAUCCCUCCUCGCCCA
rnacentral:tRNA from 1 species